rnacentral:rRNA from 1 species
UUUCCCUACGGGGGCAGCAGUGAGGAAUAUUGGUCAAUGGGCGCGAGCCUGAACCAGCCAGGUCGCGUGAGGGAGGACGGCCCUACGGGUUGUAAACCUCUUUUGCCGGGGAGCAACGGGCGUCACGUGUGGCGCCACUGAGAGUACCCGGAGAAAAAGCAUCGGCUAACUCCGUGCCAGCAGCCGCGGUAAUACGGAGGAUGCGAGCGUUAUCCGGAUUUAUUGGGUUUAAAGGGUGCGUAGGCGGAUCGUUAAGUCAGUGGUCAAAUUGAGGGGCUCAACCCCUUCUCGCCA